GUUCUCAUAGUUAAAUGGAGAUAAUAACACACUCCUAAUGUGUAGUUACAGGUUCAAUUCCUGUUGGGAACA
rnacentral:tRNA from 1 species